GCCUUCGUGGUGUAAUGGUCAGCACACUCGGCGCGUAUUCGAGAGGUCUGAGGUUCGAGUCCCGGGGACGGCA
rnacentral:tRNA from 1 species